rnacentral:tRNA from 1 species
GGAGUAUAGCUCAGAGGUUGAGGACAUGCUUAGCAUGCAUGAGGUCCUGGGUUCAAUCCCAGGUACCUUCA